rnacentral:rRNA from 1 species
GGUGAACGCUGGCGGUAGGCCUAACACAUGCAAGUCGAACGGCAGCACAGUAAGAGCUUGCUCUUACGGGUGGCGAGUGGCGGACGGGUGAGGAAUACAUCGGAAUCUACUUUUUCGUGGGGGAUAACGUAGGGAAACUUACGCUAAUACCGCAUACGACCUACGGGUGAAAGCAGGGGAUCUUCGGACCUUGCGCGAUUGAAUGAGCCGAUGUCGGAUUAGCUAGUUGGCGGGGUAAAGGCCCACCAAGGCGACGAUCCGUAGCUGGUCUGAGAGGAUGAUCAGCCACACUGGAACUGAGACACGGUCCAGACUCCUACGGGAGGCAGCAGUGGGGAAUAUUGGACAAUGGGCGCAAGCCUGAUCCAGCCAUACCGCGUGGGUGAAGAAGGCCUUCGGGUCGUAAAGCCCUUUUGUUGGGAAAGAAAAGCAGCAGGUUAAUACCCCGCUGUUCUGACGGUACCCAAAGAAUAAGCACCGGCUAACUUCGUG